rnacentral:rRNA from 1 species
AUUGAACGCUGGCGGCAGGCCUAACACAUGCAAGUCGAGCGGAUGAGUGGAGCUUGCUCCAUGAUUCAGCGGCGGACGGGUGAGUAAUGCCUAGGAAUCUGCCUGGUAGUGGGGGACAACGUUUCGAAAGGAACGCUAAUACCGCAUACGUCCUACGGGAGAAAGCAGGGGACCUUCGGGCCUUGCGCUAUCAGAUGAGCCUAGGUCGGAUUAGCUAGUUGGUGAGGUAAAGGCUCACCAAGGCGACGAUCCGUAACUGGUCUGAGAGGAUGAUCCGUCAAACUGGAACUGAGACACGGUCCAGACUCCUACGGGAGUCAGCAGUGGGGAAUAUUGGACAAUGGGCGAAAGCCUGAUCCAGCCAUGCCGCGUGUGUGAAGAAGGUCUUCGGAUUGUAAAGCACUUUAAGUUGGGAGGAAGGGCAGUAAGUUAAUACCUUGCUGUUUUGACGUUACCGACAGAAUAAGCACCGGCUAACUUCGUGCCAGCCGCCGCCGUAACAC